rnacentral:sRNA from 1 species
UCGUGCUCAUGUUGUCAAACCACUGUCC